rnacentral:rRNA from 1 species
UGAGGAAUAUUGGUCAAUGGACGCAAGUCUGAACCAGCCAAGUAGCGUGCAGGAUGACGGCCCUCCGGGUUGUAAACUGCUUUUAGUUGGGAAUAAAAAGAGGGACGUGUCCCUCAUUGUAUGUACCUUCAGAAAAAGGACCGGCUAAUUCCGUGCCAGCAGCCGCGGUAAUACGGAAGGUCCAGGCGUUAUCCGGAUUUAUUGGGUUUAAAGGGAGCGUAGGCGGAUUAUUAAGUCAGUGGUGAAAGACGGUGGCUCAACCAUCGUUAGCCAUUGAAACUGGUAGGCUUGAGUGCAGACAGGGAUGCUGGAACUCGUGGUGUAGCGGUGAAAUGCUUAGAGAUCACGAUGAACUCCGAUCGCGAAGGCAGGUGUCCGGGCUGCAACUGACGCUGAGGCUCGAAAGUGUGGGUAUCAAACAGG